rnacentral:lncRNA from 10 species
CGCGGACCCACCGAGCCCGCGCUCAGACGCCCCAGCUCCGCCGAGAGGCCGCUCUCGCCGGGUCCUUCCUCUUCCCCAAGUGCAGGCAGAGCCCCCGGAGCCAUGGCCAGCCCUUCCGGCAGCUCCGAAGCCACUGGCAAGCCCCGAGGCAGGGAUGGCCGGCCCAGGAGGGAGGAGGACGACGUCCCUCCCGGGGAGAAGAGGCUGCGGCUGUUGCUGGAGGGGGGAAGAGCACAGCCCUAGGACUGCGAGGACGGGGAGGACGCGCCGCGGCCGGGCAGGGAGGAGACCGGCACCCAGACAGGUGGCGACGGCAGAGGAGUUCUGGCUUCCCUUAUCUGCUUCGCAUUUAGUCUGUUUUUUUGGUUGAAGUAUAUGAAGAAAACCUGGCCUCACACAGACAUGUAGUUGGGAAAGUGAAGACCGCAAAGAUUCCCUGAAAGGAUAAUGGGACAACUUCAAGAACGGCUGCGAUACAUCAAGCACGAGAGCCAACAUGCUGUUCACCUGUAGCUGUUCAAUUCGGAAGCAGACUGACUGGAUUUAAAUUUCAGAUGUGUGGGCAAGUCACCUAAACACCCUGUGCCUCAGUUUCCCCCUAGAGAGGGUCAAAUGACUUGUUUUCUGUGGCGAGGCGAGAGCAAUGCUUGGCACAUACUAAGUGCUCAAUAAGUACUGACUGUUAGAAUCAUUGGCUCUGUGCCUGGCACUAGUAGGGGCUCCCUUUUCUUCCCAGGGCAGGCAUCCAUCCCCUCAGAGAUCAUCUUUAACCUGCCAGGAAUGGCCUGGGUUCCAUGAUCUCCAGGGCUGCCCUGAGACCUUGAGCUUCUUCAAGGGAAACCCAGCUAAGCCCAGUGUGUGCCUUGUGCCAUCUCUUUGGCCACAGCCCAAAGCAGCCUUGCAGUGUGUGCGUGCCAGCCUCUGGCAUGUCGGAUGGGGUGUACCUGCGUCGGAGCUGAGACAUUUUCCUCCCCAGCAGCUGGCGAUUAGGAAGUCACUCUCUAUAAUGGACGAGGCCUAAUCAGCCUGCUGAUAAUUACCAGGCCCAGAACGUGGCCGCGAUUCAGGAAAGAUGAUCCCCGAAGACAAGAGCCACUUAAAUCCUGGCAUUGACCACGGGUCCCCUUGGUAACCGAUAACUCUCAGCACAAUUUAGCCACUGAGCUAAUUGAUGUUCUCUGAGGCAGUCGGCUCAUACCCCGGCAGUCAAAAUGGGCUCUAAUUGCCGACAUCCUUCAGAUGUUUACUGAGCACUUGCUCUGUGCCAGGCGCUGUCCCAGGUGCUGGUCCUGCAGGAGUAUGUGGAGCCUAGAGUUUGAUGAGGGAGGAGCCAUUGAUGAAAUGCCACCCAAGAAGACUGCAACAGACGCUGUUGAAGCCUGCAGCAGAUGCUGUGGGAACCUCACUCAACCCCUCAGCUCUCACCUUUGAGGUGAAUGCCAAUGGUAUCCUGAGAUUCUUCACCUAAGGGCAUUCUCGAGGUUGGCACAGAGGGCAAGCUGGAAUUUUGAACCUCUCAACCCCCAUCCAUGGGAACUGGAAGACAAAAAUAUCCAGCUUCCUUAUCUAAUCAAGUGGGAUAGCUCUGAGGCCUGUUCUACAAUCUCCCAAGGACCCCUAACAGGAUGGAGCCCCAGCUGCCCACAGCAAUAACUGGCUCGCGAAUGCACUCCACAUCAUGCCCUUCCCGUCCCUGAAUCACUCCCUCGCUCCCAGACCUGGGCUCACUCUCCAAGUAAACUACUGACACUCAAAUCUUUGUCUCAGAGUGUGGUGCUGGGAAACUCAGCCUGAGACAGAUGUAAUUACAAACUGUGAUAGCUGCAAGCAAGGAGAGGGAUGCCGGGCCGCAUUCUGACAAGGUGUUGUCUGAAAUGACAGCUAAGGAAGCAUAGGCAUUAUCUAAUGUAGAUCGUCAGGAUGCAGCACAGCAAACAGAAACCGUUUUAGGAACAUUAACAGGAGGCAGGAAGGGUUGACCCAGCAGGGCUGGCUGUCAGCUCCUUGCACUGCUGCUAUGGCUUCACAGGUAUGUCAAGCCAGAAUCUGUCCAUCCAGCUGGGGCACAUGUACUGAUUGGCUAAUGCCUGUCUUGGACCGGCUGAUGAAUGUUUUGAAUAUUGCUCUGGAAUUAGGUGCUUAUAAAAUUGUUGCCGGGCUUAGAGAGUAGGCUUGCAGAACGCUGUUUUCUCUGUUUCCAAUCAGGAAGGUGAGAAAUCUGGAGGCCACCAUCAGGAUUAUUAAUAUUCUAAAACUCAUUUAUGGUACCCCUUGGUAAGAUUACUAAAGAAAUCACUAGGCCAGGUGCGGUGGCUCACACCUGUAAUCCCAGCACUUUGGGAGGCUGAGGCGGGCAGAUCACAAGGUUAGGAGUUCGAGACCAGCCUGACCAACAUGGUGAAACCCUACCUCUACUAAAAAUACAAAACUUAGCCGGGCGUGGUGGCACGUGCCUAUAAUCACAGCUGCCCGGGAGGCUGAGGCAGGAGAAUCGUUUGAGCCUGGGAGGCGGAGGUUGCAGUGAGCCAAGAUUGCACCACUGCACUCCAGCCUGGGCGACAGAGCAAGACUCCGUCUCAAAAAACAAAACAAAAAUUAUACUAAGUGAAACCAGACACAAAGGUCAUAUAUUAUAUAAUUCAAUUUUUAUGAAAUGUACACAACAAGCAAAUUCAUAGAGAAAGAAAAUCGACUAGUUGUCGGGCUGAGGGAGGACGUGGGAAGAUUGGGGGAGAGAUAGCUAAAGUGUACAGGGUUUCUUUUGGGGGUG